rnacentral:tmRNA from 1 species
CCCCUUUCCAGGGGCUGAGGGGACGCUUAUAUUCCCUGUGCCGGUGCAAACCGGCUAUGGCGAUAAAUGGUAGUCGGAAUAAGCCAUUCGGACCCGGGGGCGGUACCCGGCGCCUCCACCAAAGCCCGUUGCCUGCUCCUUGAAGAUGUGGGGACGCGGGCUCCGGCGGGGGCGAAAUAGGAUCGACGAGGGUGUAAAGGGCUUUCUUUCGCUCGGCAUGGUUCCGCCGUUAUCGGGCUAAACUUAUAGUUGCGAAUGACAACUAUGCUACGGUUGCUCAGGCCGCGUGAGCGGUUUGAAAGACCAAAUUAAAGUCCUACCGGGUAGCACUGGAUAGGCGGGGUUCGGAGGCACCUGGCAACAGAAGCCUCCACU